GACGAACGCUGGCGGCGUGCUUAACACAUGCAAGUCGAACGGUGAAGCGCCUUCCUUUUUGGUGGGUGUGGAUGAGUGGCGAACGGGUGAGUAACACGUGAGUAACCCGCCCCCUUCUUCUGGAUAACCGCAUGAAAGUGUGGCUAAUACGGGAUAUUCUGGGUCUGUCGCAUGAUGGGUCUGGGAAAGAUAUUGUUUCGGUGGGGGAUGGGCUCGCGGCCUAUCAGCUUGUUGGUGGGGUGAUGGCCUACCAAGGCGGUGACGGGUAGCCGGCCUGAGAGGGUGGACGGUCACACUGGGACUGAGACACGGCCAAGACUCCUACGGGAGGCAGCAGUGGGGAAUAUUGCACAGUGGGCGCAAGCAUGAUGCAGCGACGCCGCGUGAGGGAUGGAGGCCGUCGGGUUGUGAACCUCUUUCGCCAGUGAAGCAGGCCUGCCUCGUUUGUGGGUGGGUUGACGGUAGCUGGAUAAGAAGCGCCGGCUAACUACGUG
rnacentral:rRNA from 1 species